rnacentral:rRNA from 1 species
CCCCUAGAUGUUCUGGGCCGCACGCGCGCUACACUGAACAGUUCAACAAGUCUUAACCUUGGCCGAUAGGUCUGGGUAAUCUUUGAACGCUGUUCGUGAUUGGGAUAGACCUUUGCAAUUAUGGGUCUUCAACGAGGAAUUCCUAGUAAACGCAAGUCAUCAGCUUGCAUUGAUUACGUCCCUGCCCUUUGUACACACCGCCCGUCGCACCUACCGAUUGAGUGGUCCGGUGAAGCCUCGGGACGGCGGCUUGGUCGCUUGCGUCCGACUGCUGAAACUUGAUUAAACCAUAUCAUUUAGAGGAAGGUGAAGUCGUAACA